UUUAAUUCUCAAACUUUAAUCACCCAAAAGUCCAAAACCCAGCAGGAAGAGGAAGGAAGAGAAACAGGUUCGGCAGUGAAAGAGCUCAGGCAGUCAGUUCAGAGCCACUGUGACCUUUCCCUUGCCAUCUCGCCGCCCUUGUGCCGGCGGUGCCUUGGUGGUUCCGCCGCACCGUUCUACGUUGGGAACGCAGUUGUCUCAGGUGAUCAGAUUGAAGAUUGAAGAAUGUAAUGUAUGUAACUACUUUGAGAGGCAUGACAUUGAAUUUGCACCAAUGAGAAAAAAGUGUAAUUACUAGACUAUUGGACACUAAUGGAAGACUGAAGAAUGAAGCUGCAAUGCAUAAGAGAAUCCCUAAGUGGCUUUGGUGAUUAUUAGUGGUUUCUUAAAUCAAUAGUGGGAUUGUGAUAGCCUUUUGUUUGGGGUCCAAGUGUUAACAUUGAAAGUCAUCUUUAUUUGCAGUGACUAAAUAUGUAGGAAUACUAAAAAAAAUGAUUUUUAAUGUAAUGUAUCUAUAUGUGAAAAUUAGAUGUAAUGUAAUAUAAAAAUGUUCACAACUAUGUAAUGUUCAACUUAUGAAAUUAAUGGCAGUAUAUUUUCUCAAGUUUA